UGGGGAAUAUUGGACAAUGGGCAAAAGCCUGAUCCAGCCAUGCCGCAUAAGUGAAGAAGGCCUUUGGGUUGUAAAGCUCUUUUAGUGAGGAAGAUAAUGACGGUACUCACAGAAGAAGUCCUGGCUAACUCCGUGCCAGCAGCCGCGGUAAUACGGAGAGGGCUAGCGUUAUUCGGAAUUAUUGGGCGUAAAGGGCGCGUAGGCUGGUUAGUAAGUUAAAAGUGAAAUCCCGAGGCUUAACCUUGGAACUGCUUUUAAAACUGCUAACCUAGAGAUUGAAAGAGGAUAGAGGAAUUCCUAGUGUAGAGGUGAAAUUCGUAAAUAUUAGGAGGAACACCAGUGGCGAAGGCGUCUAUCUGGUUCAAAUCUGACGCUGAGGCGCGAAGGCGUGGGGAGCAAACA
rnacentral:rRNA from 1 species